CUACGGGUCGCACCAGUGGGGAAUAUUGCACAAUGGGCGCAAGCCUGAUGCAGCCAUGCCGCGUGUAUGAAGAAGGCCUUCGGGUUGUAAAGUACUUUCAGCGGGGAGGAAGGGAGUAAAGUUAAUACCUUUGCUCAUUGACGUUACCCGCAGAAGAAGCACCGGCUAACUCCGUGCCAGCAGCCGCGGUAAUACGGAGGGUGCAAGCGUUAAUCGGAAUUACUGGGCGUAAAGCGCAUGCGGGCGGUUGUUAAGUCAGAUGUGAAAUCCCCGGGCUCAACCUGGGAACUGCAUCUGAUACUGGCAAGCUUGAGUCUCGUAGAGGGGGGUAGAAUUCCAGGUGUAGCGGUGAAAUGCGUAGAGAUCUGGAGGAAUACCGGUGGCGAAGGCGGCCCCCUGGACGAAGACUGACGCUCAGGUGCGAAAGCGUGGGGAGCAAACAGGAUUAGAUACCCUUGUAGUC
rnacentral:rRNA from 1 species